ensembl:lncRNA
GUGUUAUUUUCCCGCUUCAGAAGAAGCGUCCAACGUGUUUUCACGCUUUCUCCGAGACAUGUCACGUCGCUAAGUUGUUAGCGCCGCGCGCUAACAUGUCAAUAGUGCAGCGUAGCCUGCUGGAGGUUUUAAGGGUUCAGAUGAAAACACCCGACCUCUCAGGCUGCUCACACAUCGAUCUUAAGUUGUAGCUGUUGUGCUCACGCCGUAAUACAGUAUUAGAUGCGGUUAAAGUCAGACAUGAAAAAAUAAAUAAAUUUUACAUGAAUAAGUGAUGCUUAGCCUGGUGGGGGGAGGAGAACCUGGCCUAAUAAGCACUGGAGGAAACCCUGUCAAGAUCGUCAACACUCGUUUAUCUUAAUGCUAUUGAAACAUGUAAACCAAAAGGCAUUAUCUCCACUGCUACCUUUCUAAUUUUAAACUCAGUAACUUAUGCUGUAACUUCACCUUGCCCUGCCUGCUCCUCCUUGCUGCCCGCCGGCUGUGAUCACAAGAGACAACAUAGUAGUUCCCGCUGCUUCUUCGGGAAACAGCGCAAAAAACAAAAAAAACUUGGGUUCUUGUAGGUGGGACUAGUCCCUAGCGUAUCUAGUAGUAAUGCCGGUAAAGGUGCUAUUCCUCAGUAAGCAGCGCCAGCCUUUCAGUUACGGCGCCAGCUCAUCAUUAAUCAGGUCGGCAGUUUGCUUCAGAAUUUAUAUAGCCUCCUGCUGCUGGGCAGUAGUCUUCAUUUUGUCUACACACCACGCCAUAGGUCAAGGACAGAUGGACAAGGACCCAAAGAAGAUCCUGAUGCUCCAAACUUCAACCUCAUAUUCCAAAUGCCGCGCAUUUCCGCCUCUGUGACUCUUCAAUGCUGCAAACCCUCUGGUGAAUUUGGAGGAUCGGACCAUCAAUCAGAUGUUUUAACAGCACAGCUGAGGCCAAGGUGAGUGAGCAGCAAAGCAGGUGACCCUACGUGGGCACGCUCGUGACCCCAUCAUUCCUCAAACAUCUCUGUCCCACCAAAAAAAGCACAGCAGGACCCCAUAGAGGCCAGUUUUUUUUUUACCUUCCUCAUACGGCCUGCUGUAUGUCAUCACUGCAAAUAUAUUUCUAAGGAUGAAAAGUAGUGGGACUGACAGAUAGUCAGUUAGUUAGUUAAUGAGUUAGUUAGCUUAACUAUGUGGUUUGUUUUAUACUGUGGUUCAUUACAAUAACAAUUAUGUUUUAAUUAAAAAAAAUUUAAUUAUAAAUUUUCAAAACUUUUUCAGAUAAGUCUGAACCUAAACUAAAACACUAAAAACUGUUUUGUUUUGCAUUUUUAUGGCAUGAAAGUUUGUAAACUUUGAUUUAAAGUCUCUAAACUUCAGGAAUACACUUCAUCAUUUGUUUAAAACUGUUUUGAUCCUUGCAACUGUGCAAAAAUAAACACAACAUAAGUAAAUAAAUACAUAGUUCUUCUGUGUUGUACACAAGAAGUUGUGUGUAUAGAUAAUGUAGAUAGUAAUAAAUAGUAUGUAUAUAGAACUAAAAUUAAGGAAUGGAAUAUAUCUGUAAAUGGUGUUAAAUUAUGGCCUUAAAGGGACAUUAUGGAAGUUUGACAGCCAAAACAUGUAUAGAAAUAAUAAAUUUCUUCUUCAUACAUUCUCCUGCAAUGCCCUGGUCCUGUAGAAUGAGCCCUGGCAUUUUUACUGUGAUUGCCUGUUUUUCUGUAAAAUCCAAGCCCCCACAAUGCGGCUCAAAAAUUUAGCCCAACCCGGCAGUACCAAAAAUUGCAGUUCCACCCUCAUCCACUGGGGGCUGGUGUCAGAAGCGAGCAAAUCCUCAUUGACUCCCAUGUUAAAAAUACCAAUUUCACAGCAGAAAUAAACAUGUUUACAGCCUGGUACCAAAACAUGUUUUUUGUUUAAAUGAUCUAGUUUACACUCAUGACAACUCUGAGGGGGGUGAAUUUUUU